rnacentral:rRNA from 1 species
AACUAGGAUUUCCUUAGUAACCGAGUGAACAGGAAAAAGCUCAAACUGGAAAUCGGCAGCUUGCUGUCGAAUUGUAGUCUCAUGAUGUGCAACUUGUAUCUGUUCUGGGAUAAUUCUCUUGGAAAAGAGUACCAUAGAGGGUGAGAGUCCCGUCUUAGCUCAGGGCAGUUACGUCCAGUGUUUCAAAGAGUCGUGUUCCUUGAGAUUGGAGCGCUAAUCAGGUGAUAAAUUUCAUCUAAAGCUAAAUAUUGCUGAGAUUCCGAUAGCAUACAAGUACCGUGAGGGAACGAUGAAAAGGACUUUGAAAAGAGAGUUAAAAGGAACUGAAAUCGCUGAAGGGGAAGUGGAGGUGGCUGUAUUGAAGUCUUUUGUUUUUUGGCGAUGAGUCGAAAGUCAAAAAUCUUUAUGCCUCUGAAAGUGGUUAUUGAAAGCAUGAAGGCAACAGCUCUUCGGGGUUAUUCCUGUAUCUGUCGUCAACUGAAGUACAUAACUCCUAAUGCAGCAAUGUGGUGGAUUAUAACAUUUAGAGAUGUCGCUUCUCCCGC